rnacentral:rRNA from 1 species
UACAGAGGUCUCAAGCGUUGUUCGGAUUCAUUGGGCGUAAAGGGUGCGUAGGCGGCGCCGUAAGUGGGGUGUGAAAUUUCGAGGCUUAACCUCGAAACUGCAUUCCAUACUGCGGUGCUUGAGGACUGGAGAGGAGACUGGAAUUUACGGUGUAGCAGUGAAAUGCGUAGAUAUCGUAAGGAAGACCAGUGGCGAAGGCGGGUCUCUGGACAGUUCCUGACACUGAGACACGAAGGCCAGGGGAGCAAACGGG